CUAGUGACCGAUAGUGAACCAGUACCGUGAGGGAAAGGUGAAAAGUACCCCGGAAGGGGAGUGAAAGAGAACUUGAAACCGUGUGCUUACAAGUAGUCAGAGCCCGUUAAUGGGUGAUGGCGUGCCUUUUGUAGAAUGAACCGGCGAGUUACGAUCUGAUGCAAGGUUAAGCAGCAAAUGUGGAGCCGCAGCGAAAGCGAGUCUGAAUAGGGCGUUGAGUAUUUGGUCGUAGACCCGAAACCAGGUGAUCUACCCUUGGUCAGGUUGAAGUUCAGGUAACACUGAAUGGAGGACCGAACCGACUUACGUUGAAAAGUGAGCGGAUGAACUGAGGGUAGCGGAGAAAUUCCAAUCGAACUUGGAGAUAGCUGGUUCUCUCCGAAAUAGCUUUAGGGCUAGCCUCAAGUGAUGAUUAUUGGAGGUAGAGCACUGUUUGGACGAGGGGCCCCUCUCGGGUUACCGAAUUCAGACAAACUCCGAAUGCCAAUUAAUUUAACUUGGGAGUCAGAACAUGGGUGAUAAGGUCCGUGUUCGAAAGGGAAACAGCCCAGACCACCAGCUAAGGUCCCAAAAUAUAUGUUAAGUGGAAAAGGAUGUGGCGUUGCCCAGACAACUAGGAUGUUGGCUUAGAAGCAGCCAUCAUUUAAAGAGUGCGUAAUAGCUCACUAGUCGAGUGACACUGCGCCGAAAAUGUACCGGGGCUAAACAUAUUACCGAAGCUGUGGAUUGUCCUUUGGACAAUGGUAGGAGAGCGUUCUAAGGGCGUCGAAGCAUGAUCGCAAGGACAUGUGGAGCGCUUAGAAGUGAGAAUGCCGGUGUGAGUAGCGAAAGACGGGUGAGAAUCCCGUCCACCGAUUGACUAAGGUUUCCAGAGGAAGGCUCGUCCGCUCUGGGUUAGUCGGGUCCUAAGCUGAGGCCGACAGGCGUAGGCGAUGGAUAACAGGUUGAUAUUCCUGUACCACCUAGUAUCGUUUUAAUCGAUGGGGGGACGCAGUAGGAUAGGCGAAGCGUGCUGUUGGAGUGCACGUCCAAGCAGUAAGGCUGAGUGUUAGGCAAAUCCGGCACUCAUAAGGCUGAGCUGUGAUGGGGAGAGGAAAUUGUUUCCUCGAGUCGUUGAUUUCACACUGCCGAGAAAAGCCUCUAGAUAGAUAACAGGUGCCCGUACCGCAAACCGACACAGGUAGUCAAGAUGAGAAUUCUAAGGUGAGCGAGCGAACUCUCGUUAAGGAACUCGGCAAAAUGACCCCGUAACUUCGGGAGAAGGGGUGCUCUUUAGGGUUCACGCCCAGAAGAGCCGCAGUGAAUAGGCCCAAGCGACUGUUUAUCAAAAACACAGGUCUCUGCUAAACCGUAAGGUGAUGUAUAGGGGCUGACGCCUGCCCGGUGCUGGAAGGUUAAGAGGAGUGGUUAGCUUCUGCGAAGCUACGAAUCGAAGCCCCAGU
rnacentral:rRNA from 1 species